AGUCCCGCCUGCCAGUGAUUAAUUUAACGGCCGCGGUAUCCUAACCGUGCGAAGGUAGCGUAAUCACUUGUUCUUUAAAUGAGGACUAGUAUGAACGGCAUCACGAAGGUUACACUGUCUCCUUUUUCUAAUCAGUGAAACUAAUUUCCCCGUGAAGAAGCGGGGAUAACCUAAUAAGACGAGAAGACCCUAUGGAGCUUUAAACACAGUAACAAGUGCUAUUAUAUUUUAUAAAUUUCUGAAUUAAACAUAAUCUAGUACCAUGAUUAUUAGUUUUAGGUUGGGGUGACCGCGGAGAAAAACAUAACCUCCACAUUGAAUGAAAAAAUUCUAAGCCCAAAGCUACAACUUAAAGCAUCAACAUAUUGACAUCAAUUGACCCAAUUAUUUUGAGCAACGAACCAAGUUACCCUAGGGAUAACAGCGCAAUCCACUUUAAGAGCCCCUAUCGACAAGUGGGUUUACGACCUCGAUGUUGGAUCAGGGUUUCCCAGUGGUGCAGCCGCUACUAAAGGUUCGUUUGUUCAACGAUUAAUACCCUACGUGAUCUGAGU
rnacentral:rRNA from 1 species